rnacentral:rRNA from 1 species
AGAACGAACGCUGGCGGCAUGCCUAAUACAUGCAAGUCGAACGAACUCUUCGGAGUUAGUGGCGCACGGGUGCGUAACGCGUGGGAAUCUGCCCUUGGGUUCGGAAUAACAGUUGGAAACGACUGCUAAUACCGGAUGAUGACGUAAGUCCAAAGAUUUAUCGCCCAAGGAUGAGCCCGCGUAGGAUUAGCUAGUUGGCGGGGUAAAGGCCUACCAAGGCGACGAUCCUUAGCUGGUCUGAGAGGAUGAUCAGCCACACUGGGACUGAGACACGGCCCAGACUCCUACGGGAGGCAGCAGUAGGGAAUAUUGGACAAUGGGCGAAAGCCUGAUCCAGCAAUGCCGCGUGAGUGAUGAAGGCUUAGGUUGUAAAGCUCUUUUACCCGAGAUGAUAAUGACAGUAUCGGAGAAUAAGACCCGGCUAACUCCGUAGCCAGCAGCCGC